rnacentral:misc_RNA from 1 species
UCUCCGUUGGUGAACCAGCGGAGGGAUCAUUACAGGACAGCGCAAGCGCCCUGCAAAACCACAGCGAACGAACCAGUACAGGGCGGCGUCCUCGGGCGCCGCCGUCGUUGCCUCGGCGGGCGGCCCCUGGGAGGGGCCCCUGGGUCGCGCCUGGCGCGACGCCUGCCGGCGGCGGCACGACGCAAACGCAGCAGUGUUACAGGUCAACCCUCUGAGGAAGAAGACAAAGCAAGUCAAAACCUUUAGCAACGGAUCUCUUGGUUCUGGCAUCGAUGAAGAACGCAGC